rnacentral:lncRNA from 1 species
UUAGGGUAAAAGGCUGGGGCAGAACUCUGACCAAGCCCUGAGGUGGGUGCACAGGUUACAAGGUUGGUGGGCCAGCAUCACAGGCUCUCAGUCAGAAUUCCAACCUUCUUCUCAGAUCUGCCAGGCUCCUAUGCUGCACUGAGAGUCCAGAGCUGGCACCACAGAAUCUGGGCAACCCCCUCCACUCACCCAUGCCCACCCCACAUGAGGCUGAGAAACAGCACACAGGGCCAGAAGAGGCAGACAGGCCUCCCUCGAUGUCCAGCCAUGAUGCAGCCCCCUCAGGACCUCCCAGUCGAAAUCCCUGCUGCUUGUGCUGGUGCUGCUGCUGUAGCUGUUCCUGGAACCAAGAACGGCAACGAGCUUGGCAGGUUUCCCGGGAAAGCAAGCUGCAACCCCUCCCCAGCUGUGAAGUCUGCACUCCACCAAGCCCUGAGGAAGUACAGAGCUGGGCACAGUCCUUUGACAAGUUGAUGCAUAGCCCCACGGGCCGCAGUGUAUUCCGGGCAUUCCUGCGCACAGAAUACAGUGAGGAGAACAUGCUCUUCUGGCUGGCUUGUGAGGAGUUGAAAACAGAGGCUGACCGACAUGUGGUGGAUGAGAAGGCGCGACUUAUCUAUGAGGACUACGUGUCCAUCCUGUCCCCCA